rnacentral:lncRNA from 1 species
UUCAUAAAUCUUUACUAUGGCAGAAGGUAAAAGGGUCUCGAUUCCUAACUCUGAUAAUCCUUCCUUGCAAAUUAGUCCCAUAAAACUUGAUGGAACCAAUUAUCUUGCUUGGUCAAAGUCUUGUUUGUUGUUUAUCAAGGCUAGAGGACUGCAGGAUUAUGUUACUGGUAAUAAAAAACAACCUGAUGAGAGGGAUCCAGAUUUUCCUCAAUGGGACUCGGAUAAUUGUCUUGUUAUGACAUGGUUACUGAACUCUAUGCAACCUCAUAUCUCUAAGUCCUAUUUGUUAAUUGAUACUGCUGCAAAAAUAUGGAAAGCUUUGUCCUUAACUUAUUCCAAGAUUGGGAAUGAUGCCCAAAUUUAUGAUAUUCGGAAUAAGAUUCAUGGUACUAAGCAAGGAGAAAUGACUAUCUCCCAAUUUUAUUCUGAGUUAUGUGGCUUAUAAUAGGAGCUUGAUUACUAUCAAGACUUCUAGGCAUACUGCACUGGAGAUACAGUCAAAUUUCGGAGAAUGAUUGAAAAGAAGCGGGUCUAUGAUUUUCUUGCAGGGUUGAAUAACGAAUAUGAUCCAAUUCGGGUCCAAGUGUUGGGAAGAAAUCCUUUUCCUUCUCUAGAAGAGGCCCACGCCCAUGUUCAACAAGAGGAAAGUCGUCGACAUGUUAUAUACUGCACCAGUUGAAAAGGCUGGGUUGACUACUAGUUUGAGCACACCACAACCUCCUACUAUUGAGAAAGAUCACUUACACUAUGACUAUUGUGGAAAACCGAGGCAUACCAAAGAGACUUGUUGGAAGUUACAUGGUCGUCCCACUAGAGGUCGUGGAGGAAAAUGAGGUACCUCUAGAAAUCAAGCUACUUUAGCAGAAACUGUGGAGGAGCCCUUUAAGGAGACAACAACGACUGAGUUUCUUUCCCCUAAUGAACUUCAAAGUCUCAAGCGCUUCUUGUCUCAUAUUGACACCUCUUCAUCCUCUGAUGCCACAUCUAACUUUGUAAAGUCAGGUAAUGCUUCCUCUUUUAAUAAUGUUCCAUAGAUUAUCGAUUCUGGUGCGAAUAGACAUAUGACAGGCUCUUCUAAAGGCUUUCUCAAUUAUUCUCCUUCUCUAACCAAAGACAGUGUUAGAAUUGUUGAUGGCUCUUUUACUCCCAUAUCCGGAACAGGUUCUGUUAUUUGCACAUCCAACAUUAAAUUAUCAUUUGUCCUUCAUGUUCCCCACUUUCCUGUCAACCUUUUAUCUGUCAGUGUUAUCACCAAUGCUCUUAACUAUAAAAUUGAAUUCUUUCCUGAUCAUUGUGUUAUUCAGGAUCUUCGCACAGGGAAGAGGAUUGGCAAUGGUAGGCUGCAUGAUGGCUUAUACAUGUUGGAGGGUGAUCCGGGUUCUUCGAUAUCUCAAGCCUGUUUUGGAGAAAAUAAGGAUGUCAAUCGGGAAAUAAUACAGUGGCACCGGCGGUUAGGGCAUCCAUCAUUUUUUAUCUUAGAAAAACUUUAUCCUGAUCUGUUUGCUAAAACCCAGUUUGGCUCUUUAUUUUGUGAUGCUUGUGAGUAUGCUAAACACACUAGAACAUCCUAUCCUUUGAGUCAUAAUAAAAGUCAAAUUUCUUUUGACAACUAUUCAUUCUGAUGUUUGGGAGCCUACUCAAACUGUCUCCUUAUCCGGUAAUCGAUGGUUUGUCACCUUUAUUGAUUGUUGUACUCGAAUGACUUGGGUCUAUCUGAUUAAAGCUAAAAGUGAUGUCUUUUCUUGUUUUCAAUAUUUUCAUAAGAUGGUUUGUACUCAAUUUGAUACUAAAGUGAAAAUUUUGAGAACUGAUAAUGGAAGAGAAUACAUGGAUAGUACCUUUUCUGCUUAUUUGGAGUAAUGGGAUAGUACACCAGACUAGUUGUCCUUAUACUAGUGCUCAAAAUGGCGUUGCUGAGAGAAAAAAUAGGCAUCUAUUGGAGGUAGCUCGAUCUCUUAUGUUCACCAUGAAUCUAUCCAAAGCAUAUUGGGGAGAUGCAAUCCUUAUAUCUGCUUACCUUAUAAAUAGAAUGCCUCUCAAGACCCUUGACUUUAUGAGUCCUUUAGCGGUUCUACAAGAGAAGAAUUCAUAUUGUUGAAUCCCACAUCGGUUGUGGAAAGGGGUAAUGUGCCCCUUAUAUGGGCCAUAGGCACUCCUCCCCCUUGAGCUAGCUUUUGGGGUGAGUUAGGCCUGGCCCAAAUUUAACAUGAUAUCAGAGCCUCCCCAUCCGAUGUUGGGCACCCCAUAAAUGUGCCACGCACCGGUAAAAAUUCUGGACGUGAGGGGGUGUGUUGAAUCCCACAUCGGUUGUGGAAAGGGGUAAUGUGCCCCUUAUAUGGGCCAUAGGCACUCCUCCCCCUUGAGCUAGCUUUUGGGGUGAGUUAGGUCUGGCCCAAAUUUAACACAUAUGUUGUUCCACCAAAAGUAUUUGGGUGUGUUUAUUUUGUCCAUACUAGGACGGUAGGGAAAUUGGAUCCCAAGGCCCUCAAAUGUGUGUUUGUUGGGUAUUCUCCGACACAGAAGGGAUAUAGGUGUUAUCACCCUCCCUCUAGAAAAUACUUAGUCAGUAUGGAUGUUACCUUUCGAGAAACUGAACCCUACUUCAAUACCACCCACUCACCUCUUCAGGAGGAGAAUAAUGAGCAAGAAGAGGUGAUCCCGAAUUGUGUGAUUCUGGAUAAUAUGGUUCAACUAGAGAGUUUGAGUUCUAAUCGACGGGGGAGAUGUCCAAUCAGGGAGAAAGAAUUGGUCGUUUGGACAAACCAGAUUUGAGAAGGUAUUCAAGGAGAGACAAGGCAGAAGAAGCCAUUAUGCAGUCUACUCAGAGUUAAGAAUCUUCUUCUGGUGAGUUACCCACAACUCUUGAAUGCUUCAAUGAUUUAGAUAAACCGAUUGCACAAAGAAAACGAGUUAGAUCUCGUACUAAACAUCCUCUUUCUAACUUUGUUUCUUAUGAAUCCUUGUCUCCUUCCUAUAGAGCCUUUGCCUUGCCUAUUUCCUCUGUAUCUAUUUCACAGGAUUGGAAGAAAGCUCUUGCAGAACCUAAAUGGAAGGACGCAAUGAUUGAAGAGAGGAAAGCAUUGGCUAAAAAUGAAACCUAGGAGCUUGUCACUCUUCUACCUGGAAAGAAACUCGUUGGCUGUAAGUGGGUGUUCACAGUGAAAUACAAAGCUGAUGGUACAAUCGAAUGAUUUAAGGCCAGAUUGGUUGCUAAAGAUUUCACCCAAACCUAUGGAGUGGAUUAUCAAGAGACAUUUACCCCAGUUGCAAAAAUAAAUUCAAUCAGAAUUCUAUUAUCUUGCGCGGCCAACUUGGACUGGGACUUACAACAGUUUGAUGUGAAGAAUGCUUUCCUCCAUGGAGAUUUAGAGGAAGAAGUAUUCAUGGAAAUUCCUCUUGGGUUCGCUGAUGAGAAGACACAAGGAAAGGUGUGCAAGUUAAAAAAAGCUUUGUAUGGGCUAAAACAAUCUCCCAGAGCUUGGUUUGACAGGUUUAGUGGAGCCAUGAUGUCUUUUGGUUACCAACAAAGCAAUGUUGAUCACACUUUGUUUAUCAAACAUCAUAAGGGUAAGAUCACCCUUCUUAAUGUGUAUGUUGAUGAUAUAGUGUUGACAGGUGAUGACAAAGAGGAAAUGGCUCAACUAAAGAGGUUGUUGGCUCAGGAAUUUGAAAUCAAAGAUCUGGGAAAACUGCAAUAUUUUCUAGGUAUUGAGAUGGCUAGAUCAGAAAAAGGAAUUUUCAUCUCCCAAAGAAAGUACAUUAUGGAUCCUUUGGAAGAAACUGGUAUGAUGGGGUGUAAACCAGCAGAAUCUCCAAUUGAAAGUAAUCACAAGCUGAAAGCAAGAACUGGCGAGUCCGUGGAUAUUGGAAGAUAUCAGAGAUUGGUAGGAAGGUUGAUUUAUCUCUCACAUACUCGACCGGAUAUAGCCUAUGUUGUUAGCUUAGUCAGCCAAUUCAUGCAUGACCCUCGCGAGACUCAUAUGCAAGCUGUACUUCGCAUCUUGAGAUACCUAAAGUCUACGCCAGGGAAAGUGUUUUUUUACUCCAAACAUGGUCACCUCCGAAUUGAAACUUUUACAGAUGCAGAUUGGGCAGGAUCUCUCGAUGACAGGAGAUCCACAUCUGCCUACUGCACAACUAGUGGAGGGAACCUUGUCACUUGGAGGAGUAAAAAACAAAGUGUUGUUGCUCGGUCAAGUGCGGAAGCAGAAUACAAAGCAAUGUCCCAAGGAGUGUGUAAACUCUUAUGGUUGCAGAAGUUAUUGGAAGAGUUGAGAUUGUCCGAGAGAGACAAGAUAACCUUGUAUUGUGACAAUAGAGCUGCUAUAAGUAUAGCACAAAAUCCAGUCCAACAUGACCGAACAAAAUACAUUGAAAUUGAUCGGCACUUCAUUAAAGAAAAAUUAACGGACGGUGUCUUGAGCCUAGUUCAUGUGACUUCUACUGAGCAACUUGCGGAUGUGUUUACUAAAUGGCUUAACAACAAGAUCUACCAUAAUCUGAUUUGCAAGUUGGGCAUGUGUGACAUCUUUGCACCAAUUUGAGGGGGAGUGUUGACUUUUUAGCUAAUCUUAGCUGAUUCUAGGAAUUUGAUUGGAUCUGAUUAGGAUCCUUAAUUAUCUCUGUAAUUAUUAUUUGAUUAAUUAUUUGAUUCUUGUUUAAAUAUGAUUCUUUGUGUAUAAAUAGUCAUCUAGACCAAUUAUAAAGAUUAAGAGUGAAAUUGACAAGAAUACUCAAAAUUUUCUCAAAAUUCUUCAAAAGAAAAUGAAUUUGAAACAGGAAAAAGUUAAUUAUGAUCAUAAAUUGCAAAAUUUACCUUUUGUAUAUGGAUUUCUCCAUAAUAUCAACAAAAAACAAUUUUUUUUCCAUUUACUUAAAAGAGAAGGAAUGAAAGAAGAGGAAGAGACCUAUCUGAUGAAAAUAACACGAAUACUAAAAAUCAACUACUAACCACUAACCACAAACUCUUAACCCUAACCCUAACCUUAACCCUAUACUAACCCUAACACUUCACAAAUACUUAACAAACACUUCACAAACACAUAACAAACACUUCACAAACACUUAACAAAAACUUCAAAAACACUUAACAAACAAUAAACACUUGAACAUCAUACGUAAACUUCACACAUAAGUGUUUAUACAAAUACUUAAAAAACAGUUAACAAAUACUUUAACAAACACUUCACAAACACUUAACAAACACUAACAUUUAAGCAUCACACUUCACACUUAAAUACUAAACACCUUAACACACAAACAUACUCACACGCUUCAAACUUAACAAACAUUAACACUUAAACAUUACACUUCAUACUUUCACACUUAAAAAAUUAAACAUUUAACACUUAAACACACAAAUAAACUUACACACUCGUACACUUCAACAAACACUUAUACGUAACAAAAACUUAACAAAACACUUCAAAAAUACUGCACAAGGAUUUAACAAAUACUAACACUUGACAAACAGUAAUACUUAAAUAUCACACUUCACACUUAACACCUAAACACACAAACACUUUAACAGUACACACUUCACACCAUUUCACACUACACACUUCACACUUAAACAAAUAUUUUAACACUUUACGCUUCAAUAAACACUUUAACUUUUAACACCUUAACACUUCACACUUCACACUUCACAAACACUACCAUUCACCAAACACUACAACUUAAACAUCACACUUCACACAUAAGUAUUAACACCUUAACAGCUAAAUACACUUAAAAAAAACGUAACAAAUACUUCACAAACACUUAACAAACUAAUACCUAAGCAUCACACUUCACACCUUCACACUUAAACACCCCAACACACAAACACACUCACACACUUCACACUUAAGAAACACUAACACUUAAACAUCACACUUCACACUGCACGCUUUCACACAUAAACACUUAAACACCUAAACACUUAACACCUUAAGACCUAACUUUACAUACUUCACACGCUUCACACACUUCACACUUAAGAAACAAUAACACUUAAACAUCACACUUCACACUGCACAUUUUCACACGUAAACACCUAAACACCUAACUUAACACUUCACACACUUCACACUUCACACACUUCACAAACUUCACACUCUUCACAUUUCACACACUUCACACUCUUCACAACACCUAACUUCACACUUCACACACUUCACACUUCACACUUCACACUACACUUCACAUACAAUACACACACACUUUAAACUUCACACUCCACACUCUUCGCACUUCGCACUUCGCACUUCGCACUUCGCACUUCGCACUUCGCACUUCGCACUUCGCACUUCGCACUUCGCACUUCGCACUUCGCACUUCGCACUUCGCACUUCGCACUUCGCACUUCACACACUUCACGCUCUUCAUACUCUUCACAACACCUAACUUCAUAUUUCACACACUUCACACACUUUACACACUUUACACUUCACACACAAUUCACACACACUUCACACUUCACACUUCACACUCUUUGCACUUCACAUUUCACACUUCACACUCAUCACACUUGACACUCAUCACACUUGACACUUGACACUUCACACAUUUCACACUUCACACGUCACGCACUUGAACACUUUACACCCAUCACAAUUCACACUUCACACACUUCACACUUCCCCAAUUCCCGCACUUUGCACUUUGUCACACUUUGUCACAAUUCAAAUUUGUCAAACAUUUACACUUCACACAGCACACUUCACAUUUCACACUUUUCACACACUUCACAACAAGUGCUGAACAAAAUACUUACAAAACACUUCAAAAACACAUCUCAAGGACUUAACAAACAAUAACACUUAAAUAAACACUUAAAAAUCACACUUCACUAUUUACACCAAAACACCC